CUCUGUGACUCCUACGGGAGGCAGCAGUGGGGAAUAUUGCACAAUGGGCGCAAGCCUGAUGCAGCCAUGCCGCGUGUGUGAAGAAGGCCUUCGGGUUGUAAAGCACUUUCAGUAGGGAGGAAGGUAGUGUAGUUAACACCUGCACUAUUUGACGUUACCUACAGAAGAAGCACCGGCUAACUCCGUGCCAGCAGCCGCGGUAAUACGGAGGGUGCGAGCGUUAAUCGGAAUUACUGGGCGUAAAGCGCAUGCAGGCGGCCUGUUAAGUCAGAUGUGAAAGCCCGGGGCUUAACCUCGGAAUUGCAUUUGAAACUGGCAGGCUAGAGUCUUGUAGAGGGGGUAGAAUUUCAGGUGUAGCGGUGAAAUGCGUAGAGAUCUGAAGGAAUACCAGUGGCGAAGGCGGCCCCCUGGACAAAGACUGACGCUCAGAUGCGAAAGCGUGGGGAGCAAACAGGAUUAGAUACCCUGGUAG
rnacentral:rRNA from 1 species